rnacentral:rRNA from 1 species
CCUGAGAAACCCAAAAGAUCGAAUGGGGAGAUUCAUCGUCAGCGGCUCCGGUGCGUGUGCGGUUCGGGAUUUCGCGGGGCCUCGGCCUCGCGGGACUCGUCCGCAUUGUUUUUUAUGCCGGAGCUCGUCGGCGUGCACUUCUCCCCUAGUAGGACGUCGCGACCCGUUGGGUGUCGGUCUACGACCCGGGUGGGAGUCUGUCGUGCGUCGCGCUUCACGGUGCGUCAUGCGGCAGACCCCCGGAUGUCCGACCGACUGCCCGGCGGUACYCGCACGGUAUCGGGCCGCAAUCUUUGAACUGCGUCCGGCUUGUCGCAAGCGCGGUACAAGUUUUUCUCGGACGUACGGACCUCGUGCCGUCGCCGGGCUUGUCCAGCUGUUGGUCGACUUUGCUCUCGGACUGGCUCUUAUAUGUUACCGGUCGGCGACGCUACUGCUUUGGGUACUUUCAGGACCCGUCUUGAAACACGGA